rnacentral:rRNA from 1 species
AUUGAACGCUGGCGGCAGGCCUAACACAUGCAAGUCGAACGGUAACAGGAAGCAGCUUGCUGCUUCGCUGACGAGUGGCGGACGGGUGAGUAAUGUCUGGGAAACUGCCUGAUGGAGGGGGAUAACUACUGGAAACGGUAGCUAAUACCGCAUAAUGUCGCAAGACCAAAGAGGGGGACCUUCGGGCCUCUUGUCAUCGGAUGUGCCCAGAGGGGAUUAGCUAGGGGGUGGGGUAACGGCUCACCUAGGCGACGAUCCCUAGCUGGUCUGAGAGGAUGACCAGCCACACUGGAACUGAGACACGGUCCAGACUCCUACGGGAGGCAGCAGUGGGGAAUAUUGCACAAUGGGCGCAAGCCUGAUGCAGCCAUGCCGCGUGUAUGAAGAAGGCCUUCGGGUUGUAAAGUACUUUCAGCGGGGAGGAAGGCGAUAAGGUUAAUAACCUUGUCGAUUGACGUUAUCCGCAGAAGAAGCACCGGCUAACUCCGUGCCAGCAGCCGCAGUAA